UGCCCUUUGAAGAGAUACCUUCCGUCAUGACUCCACUAAAUCUGUGUUGCUGAGUCUGCUGUUUGCAUGCAGGAAUGUGAAGGACUGCUCAAGUUGGAGAUACAAAUUGAAGCCAGCCCCAGUUCAAAACUGUUACAAAUGGAGUCUGUAGGCAUGAGGGGCUGACUAUAUAACUCAGAGUUCUCCAGUACUUUACUUUAAUAAAGAACACAAUCUUUAUUAAAGGAUAAGUAAUAAAAAUGUGUUGAUGUGCAACUUAUGGAUCUAUUAUUAAAACUCAACAGUCAUUGCAGCAAUGUUUAGAACUUAAGCAAACAAAAGUUUUGUGAGGGGGCAAUUUUAUCAAUGACAUUGUUUAGAAAUGUUGGUAGAUGGUGAUCAUAAAAAGCAGAUCAAUGUUUUAUUUCACUUGGGUUUUUAAAAAUUAUUUUUAAAAAAUU
rnacentral:lncRNA from 10 species